rnacentral:tRNA from 1 species
GGGGUUGUGGCUCAGAGGUAGAGCACCCGCCUAACAUGCGUGAGGCACUAGGAUAGAUCCUCAGCACCA